AUUAUUCUUUCAACUCAGACAAUAUUUCAGGAUAUGGAGAUCGAUAUUUUACUGCAAAGGUCAGAAAAUCUUCCCUCGAUACUUAAUUUUAAGUUCUUUGUCCAUGGCCGUAUGGUACAUGGAUGACGGAUGCUGGACUGGCAAGAAAUUUGUCAUUUCAACAGAAAGUUUUCGGGGAAAGUAUCUGAAAUAUUUGCAGGAUGCGUUAAAGAAACAAUUCGGUUUGGAAACCAACGUUGGCAAAAAUGGGAAAUUGACGAUACUCAAGGUAUCUCAUUCCGUUUUUAUCGAUUUGAUUUCACCUCAUAUUGAAUCGAGUAUGAGGUAUAAGCUACCAAACCCCGUAACGACUUUUCCGGUAACGAUACCGGGAAGAGUUUGCGGUCACACGCAAGCUAACACGCUGACCCCAGAAAAACUGGGUGAUGGUAUAGUCUAGCUUUAAAGUAAUUUAAAGGUUAAUGGAACUGUUCCCUUCAGUGGGGUAACGAACGCAACCCCUGUUGCCUGUUACAAGUGUCAGGCGAGACCGCCCCCACCUACGCUCCUCUCCUCCUACGCUCGCUUCGCGAGCUUCGGAGGACAAGGCGGAGCUUCGGUGGGCACGGCAGCUCUUAUAUUAGGGCUGCUUGCCCGCCGUAGCUUCCCGCAGGGAAGCGAAGGUGGGGGAGGAAGGUGGGGAUGACGCCAAGUCAGCAUGGCCCUUUGACACCCUGGGCUACACACGUGUUACAAUCGCGGCUACAACGGGACGCAAUGCCGUAAGGCGGAGCAAACCCUUAGAAAAGCCGCGCCAGUUCGGAUUGAGGUCUGCAACUCGACCUCAUGAAGCCGGAAUCGCUAGUAAUCGCGGGUCAGCUAUACCGCGGUGAAUACGUUCUCAAGUCUUGUACUCACCGCCCGUCAACCCAAGGGAGUCGGUGGUGCCCGAAAUCUCGCCUCGUGCGGGCAUAAGGCAAAAUCGAUGACAGGGGGUAAGUCGUAACAAGGCACGGGUAGCGGAAGCUGCUCGUGGAAUAUUUCAAAG
rnacentral:rRNA from 1 species